GACGAACGCUGGCGGCGUGCUUAACACAUGCAAGUCGAACGGAAAGGCCCUGCUUUUGUGGGGUGCUCGAGUGGCGAACGGGUGAGUAACACGUGAGUAACCUGCCCUUGACUUUGGGAUAACUUCAGGAAACUGGGGCUAAUACCGGAUAGGAUCUCCUGCUGCAUGGGGGGGGUUGGAAAGUUUCGGCGGUGGGGGAUGGACUCGCUGGUUAUCAGCUUGUUGGUCGGGUAGUGGCUUACCAAGGCUUUGACGGGUAGCCGGCCUGAGAGGGUGGACGGCGACAUUAGGACUGAGGUACGGAGCAGACUCGUACGGGAGGCAACAGGCGAAAAUAUUGCACAAUGGGCGGGCGCGAGAUGCAGAGGCGCUGCGUGCGGGAUACCGGCCUUCGGGUUGUAAACAGCUUUCGACGGAGACGAAGAGUGAGUGACGGUAAUGAGUCAAGAAGCAACGGCUAACUACGUG
rnacentral:rRNA from 1 species